AGUGAACGCUGGCGGUAGGCCUAACACAUGCAAGUCGAACGGCAGCACAGUAAGAGCUUGCUCUUACGGGUGGCGAGUGGCGGACGGGUGAGGAAUACAUCGGAAUCUACUUUUUCGUGGGGGAUAACGUAGGGAAACUUACGCUAAUACCGCAUACGACCUACGGGUGAAAGCAGGGGAUCUUCGGACCUUGCGCGAUUGAAUGAGCCGAUGUCGGAUUAGCUAGUUGGCGGGGUAAAGGCCCACCAAGGCGACGAUCCGUAGCUGGUCUGAGAGGUUGAUCAGCCACACUGGAACUGAGACACGGUCCAGACUCCUACGGGAGGCAGCAGUGGGGAAUAUUGGACAAAGGGCGCAAGCCUGAUCCAGCCAUACCGCGUGGGUGAAGAAGGCCUUCGGGUUGUAAAGCCCUUUUGUUGGGAAAGAAAAGCAGCAGGUUAAUACCCCGCUGUUCUGACGGUACCCAAAGAAUAAGCACCGGCUAACUUCGUG
rnacentral:rRNA from 1 species